rnacentral:tRNA from 1 species
GGUGGGGUAUCCAAGUGGCUAAAGGAUGCAGACUGUAAAUCUGUCGGGUUUUCCCUUCGAGCGUUCGAAUCGCUCCCCCACCACCA